GAGGAUGUAGUAUAGUGGUCAAUAUCCCUGCCUGUCACGUAGGAGAUCGCGGGUUCGAGUCCCGUCAUCCUCG
rnacentral:tRNA from 2 species